rnacentral:rRNA from 1 species
GUGUGCCUACGGGAGGCAGCAGUAGGGAAUAUUGCUCAAUGGGGGAAACCCUGAGGCAGCAACGCCGCGUGGAGGAUGAAGGCUUUCGGAUUGUAAACUCCUUUUGUUAGAGAAGAUAAUGACGGUAUCUAACGAAUAAGCACCGGCUAACUCCGUGCCAGCAGCCGCGGUAAUACGGAGGGUGCAAGCGUUACUCGGAAUCACUGGGCGUAAAGAGCGCGUAGGCGGGAUAGCAAGUCAGAUGCGAAAUCCUAUGGCUUAACCAUAGAACUGCAUUUGAAACUGUUAUUCUAGAGUAUGGGAGG